GAUGAACGCUGGCGGCGUGCCUAAUACAUGCAAGUCGAACGCCGAAGGAAGGAGCUUGCUCUUUCCGGAUGAGUUGCGAACGGGUGAGUAACGCGUAGGUAACCUGCCUGGUAGCGGGGGAUAACUAUUGGAAACGAUAGCUAAUACCGCAUAACAGUAGAUGUUGCAUGAUAUCUACUUAAAAGGUGCAAUUGCACCACUACCAGAUGGACCUGCGUUGUAUUAGCUAGUUGGUGAGGUAACGGCUCACCAAGGCGACGAUACAUAGCCGACCUGAGAGGGUGAGCGGCCACACUGGGACGGAGACACGGCCCAGACUCCUACGGGAGGGAGCAGUAGGGAAUCUUCGGCAAUGGACGGAAGUCUGACCGAGCAACGCCGCGUGAGUGAAGAAGGUUUUCGGAUCGUAAAGCUCUGUUGUAAGAGAAGAACGAGUGUGAGAGUGGAAAGUUCACACUGUGACGGUAUCUUACCAGAAAGAGACGGCUAACUACGUG
rnacentral:rRNA from 1 species